rnacentral:pre_miRNA from 1 species
UCCAAACCCAUCCAACUCUGAAGAUAAUUUGGUUCAUAGUUAUCAAGAGAAACUGAACCAUAUUAUCUUUAGAGUUGGACUGGUUUGGGU